GAUGAACGCUGGCGGCGUGCCUAAUACAUGCAAGUCGAACGAGGUGCUUGAGUAGCAAUACGAGAGUAUCCUAGUGGCGAACGGGUGAGUAACGCGUUGGUGACCUACCCCAAAGUGUGGGAUAACAGUCCGAAAGGAUUGCUAAUACCGCAUGUGGUUAUCGGAUUUAGAAACUGAUAUCUAAAGGAGCAAUUCGCUUUGGGAGGGACCUGCGUCCCAUCAGCUAGUUGGUGAGGUAAUGGCUCACCAAGGCUACGACGGGUAGGGGACCUGAGAGGGUGACCCCCCACAAUGGAACUGAAACACGGUCCAUACACCUACGGGUGGCAGCAGUAGGGAAUAUUGCUCAAUGGGCGAAAGCCCUGAAGCAGCAACGCCGCGUGUGCGAUGAAGGCCUUCGGUCGUAAG
rnacentral:rRNA from 1 species